AUACAUGCAGUCGAACGAAACUUUCUUACACCGAAUGCUUGCAUUCACCGUAAGAAGUUGAGUGGCGGACGGGUGAGUAACACGUGGGUAACCUGCCUAAAAGAAGGGGAUAACACUUGGAAACAGGUGCUAAUACCGUAUAUCUCUAAGGAUCGCAUGAUCCUUAGAUGAAAGAUGGUUCUGCUAUCGCUUUUAGAUGGACCCGCGGCGUAUUAACUAGUUGGUGGGGUAACGGCCUACCAAGGUGAUGAUACGUAGCCGAACUGAGAGGUUGAUCGGCCACAUUGGGACUGAGACACGGCCCAAACUCCUACGGGAGGCAGCAGUAGGGAAUCUUCCACAAUGGACGCAAGUCUGAUGGAGCAACGCCGCGUGAGUGAAGAAGGUCUUCGGAUCGUAAAACUCUGUUGUUAGAGAAGAACACGAGUGAGAGUAACUGUUCAUUCGAUGACGGUAUCUAACCAGCAAGUCACGGCUAACUACGUGCCAGCAGCCGCGGUAAUACGUAGGUGGCAAGCGUUGUCCGGAUUUAUUGGGCGUAAAGGGAACGCAGGCGGUCUUUUAAGUCUGAUGUGAAAGCCUUCGGCUUAACCGGAGUAGUGCAUUGGAAACUGGAAGACUUGAGUGCAGAAGAGGAGAGUGGAACUCCAUGUGUAGCGGUGAAAUGCGUAGAUAUAUGGAAGAACACCAGUGGCGAAAGCGGCUCUCUGGUCUGUAACUGACGCUGAGGUUCGAAAGCGUGGGUAGCAAACAGGAUUAGAUACCCUGGUAGUCCACGCCGUAAACGAUGAAUGCUAGGUGUUGGAGGGUUUCCGCCCUUCAGUGCCGCAGCUAACGCAAUAAGCAUUCCGCCUGGGGAGUACGACCGCAAGGUUGAAACUCAAAGGAAUUGACGGGGGCCCGCACAAGCGGUGGAGCAUGUGGUUUAAUUCGAAGCAACGCGAAGAACCUUACCAGGUCUUGACAUCCUUUGACCACCUAAGAGAUUAGGUUUUCCCUUCGGGGACAAAGUGACAGGUGGUGCAUGGCUGUCGUCAGCUCGUGUCGUGAGAUGUUGGGUUAAGUCCCGCAACGAGCGCAACCCUUGUUGUCAGUUGCCAGCAUUAAGUUGGGCACUCUGGCCAGACUGCCCGUGACAACCGGAAGAAAGGGGGGACGACUUCAGUCAUCAGGCCCCUUAUGACCGGGGCAACCACCUGCUACAUGGACGGUACACCAAUCCCGAAACCCGAGGUUUACUUAUCUUUAAACCC
rnacentral:rRNA from 1 species